UACGGGGGGGGCAAGCGUUGUUCGGAAUUACUGGGCGUAAAGGGCUCGUAGGCGGCCAACUAAGUCAGACGUGAAAUCCCUCGGCUUAACCGGGGAACUGCGUCUGAUACUGGAUGGCUAGAGGUUGGGAGAGGGAUGCGGAAUUCCAGGUGUAGCGGUGAAAUGCGUAGAUAUCUGGAGGAACAUCAGUGGCGAAGGCGACACCCUGGACUCAUACUGACACUGAGGUGCGAAAGCGUGGGGAGCAAACAGG
rnacentral:rRNA from 1 species